rnacentral:rRNA from 1 species
ACGGUAGCUAAUACCGCAUAAUCUCUCAGGAGCAAAGCAGGGGAACUUCGGUCCUUGCACUAUCGGAUGAACCCAUAUGGGAUUAGCUAGUUGGUGAGGUAAUGGCUCACCAAGGCGACGAUCCCUAGCUGGUCUGAGAGGAUGAUCAGCCACACUGGGACUGAGACACGGCCCAGACUCCUACGGGAGGCAGCAGUGGGGAA